UACAGAGGGUGCAAGCGUUAAUCGGAAUUACUGGGCGUAAAGCGCGCGUAGGUGGUUUGUUAAGUUGGAUGCGAAAGCCCCGGGCUCAACCUGGGAACUGCAUCCAAAACUGGCAAGCUAGAGUACGGUAGAGGGUGGUGGAAUUUCCUGUGUAGCGGUGAAAUGCGUAGAUAUAGGAAGGAACACCAGUGGCGAAGGCGACCACCUGGACUGAUACUGACACUGAGGUGCGAAAGCGUGGGGAGCAAACAGG
rnacentral:rRNA from 1 species